UAAGGAAUAUUGCUCAAUGGGAGAAAUCCUGAAGCAGCAACGCCGCGUGGAGGAUGAAGGGUCUAUGACUUGUAAACUCCUGUAAAGAAGGAAAAAAUUCCCAUUUGAUGGGAGAUGAUGGUACUUCUGGAGUAAGCCCCGGCUAACUACGUGCCAGCAGCCGCGGUAAUACGUAGGGGGCAAGCGUUGUCCGGAUUUACUGGUGUAAAGGGUGCUCAGGCGGAUUUGUAAGUCAGAGGUGAAAUCUUACAGCUUAACUGUGAAACUGCCUUUGAUACUGCAAGCCUAGAGUAUGGAAGAGAGUGAUGGAAUAUCUGGUGUAGCAGUGAAAUGCGUAGAUAUCAGAUAGAACACCAAUGGCGAAGGCAGUCACUUGGUCCAUUACUGACGCUAAAGCACGAAAGCGUGGGUAGCAA
rnacentral:rRNA from 1 species